UAACUCUUAAUACGGGAAGUUAAUGACGGUACCGGAAGAAUAAGCCCCGGCUAAUUUCGUGCCAGCAGCCGCGGUAAUACGUAGGGCGCGAGCGUUUAUCGGAAUUACUGGGCGUAAAGCGUGCGCAGGCGGUUCUUUAAGUCAGAUGUGAAAUCCCCGGGCUCAACCUGGGAACUGCAUUUGANACUGGCGGUCUAGAGUACGGCAGAGGGGGGUAGAAUUCCGCGUGUAGCAGUGAAAUGCGUAGAUAUGGGAGGAACACCGGUGGCGAAGGCAGCUCCCUGGCCCAAUACUGACGCUCACGCACGAAAGCGUGGGGAGCACACAGGAUUAGAUACCCUGGUAGUCCACGCCAUAAACGAUGUCAACUAGGUUGUUGGGUAAUCAGCUCCUCAGUGACGCAGCUAACGCGUGAAGUUGACCGCCUGGGGA
rnacentral:rRNA from 1 species